rnacentral:rRNA from 1 species
UACGGAGGGUCCGAGCGUUAUCCGGAAUCAUUGGGUUUAAAGGGUCCGUAGGUGGACUAAUAAGUCAGAGGUGAAAUCCCAUAGCUCAACUAUGGAACUGCCUUUGAUACUGUUAGUCUUGAGUUACUUGGAAGUAGAUAGAAUGUGUAGUGUAGCGGUGAAAUGCAUAGAUAUUACACAGAAUACCGAUUGCGAAGGCAGUCUACUACGAGUAUACUGACACUGAUGGACGAAAGCGUGGGGAGCGAACGGG